GGUCUGUGAAGAAUCGCUCAAAAAUAUUGCAAUUGUCACUAAAACACGUAAUUUUUGAGAUUCAUGUGAAUACCAAGACAACAAAUUGCAUCUUUUAAGAAUUAAGUUACGUUUUUAUUAGUAUAUUAUCAAGAAAAUACGUUUCUUUCAAAAUAAACAGGUAUCUAUAGCAACCAAGGAGUCCCGAAACAAUGGUAUUAGACGUCGAGUUCUAAUUGGUUAAAAAAAACCAGCCCCCCAACAGAACAAGAACUCAUUUGAAUUCAGAUAAAGAGUCCGAAAAUCAAUAACUUAUUUCCGAAAUAUAAAAUUCUAAACUGCAAACGAAGGUCUUGGUAUUCGACUGAUCUUUUUAUUAUUUGUUUGAUUCGCUUAAUAAGCUCAAACAAAAUAUAUUCAUUAAUUAUUGAUUGGAAGGAAAAUUUGAGUCACUAGUCGCUAGUUUCUGCUGCGAUGGAACAUUUCUCCCGUUUCCUACCGAACGCUGUCGGGGGCAAGGGUGAGCCGCCUCUGUUGAAAGCAAUCAUGUCGUGAAGCGUCCGUAGCGUGGCCGAUGCUCAAGCCGUCAAAUAAUAAACCUUUUGAUUAGAA